rnacentral:lncRNA from 1 species
GCAAGAAUCUGUUUGAAUAUCUAUGAUCUUCCUAGGGUUGUAAGUGGAUACUAGUUUCAAGUGUCACACCCUUGCACAUCGUUUUUAUCAUCUCUAUACCUUUCAAUUCAUAUGUGAAACAAGCACAUGAGCUGCCAUUGAAAACUGUUGCCACAGAACCUCCCUGGAUAAUUUUACUAUGCAUUUGAGAGAGUAGAUCAUUAUAGCAAAUUAGCAGCCCUGACCUGCAACAUAAGAGUUUUAUAAGGUCAUUUUAUCCCAACGUACAUACAGAAAAUAAUUCAUUUAAAAUGUGAAGAAAAACAUAACAAGAGAAUAGCCGAGCUUACAUGCAUGUACAACAUGGUUCAGAUUUAGCCGUUAAUGGUGAUGGCAGUUCUAUAAGAUAUUGAUCCUUCAUCUGUG